rnacentral:rRNA from 1 species
UACGGAGGGGGCGAGUGUUGUUCAGAAUUACUGGGCGUAAAGGGCGCGCAGGCGGCCUGGCAAGUCGAGUGUGAAAUCCCUUGGCUUAACUGAGGAAUGGCGCUCGAAACUACCUCGCUGGAGGGCGGGAGAGGGAAGUGGAACUCUCGGUGUAGGGGUGAAAUCUGUAGAUAUCGAGAGGAACACCGGUGGCGAAGGCGGCUUCCUGGCCCGUACCUGACGCUGAGACGCGAAAGCGUGGGAGCAACAGGAUUAGAA